rnacentral:rRNA from 1 species
UAAAGUUGUUGCGGUUAAAAAGCUCGUAGUCGGAGGUGUGUCUCGGACGGUCGGUUCGCCGCUUGUCGGUGCUCAACUGGCCGGUCCGGACGUCCUGCCGGUGGGGCCGCGAGGCUCCGUCAUCCUUCUUUGGUCCUCUUCACCGAGUGCCUUGGUGGGCCGGCACGUUUACUUUGAACAAAUUAGAGUGCUCAAAGCAGGCCGUUGGUCGCCUGAAUACUGUGUGCAUGGAAUAAUGGAAUAGGACCUCGGUUCCAUUUUGUUGGUUUUCAGAACUCGAGGUAAUGAUUAAUAGGGACGGACGGGGGCAUUCGUAUUGCGACGUUAGAGGUGAAAUUCUUGGAUCGUCGCAAGACGAACCGAUGCGAAAGCAUUUGCCAAGAACGUUUUCGUUGAUCAAGAACGAAAGUUAGAGGUUCGAAGGCGAUCAGAUACCGCCCUAGUUCUAACCAUAAACGAUGCCAGCUAGCCAUCCGCCGAAGUUCCUUCUAUGACUCGGCGGGCAGCUUCCGGGAAACCAAAGCUCUUGGGUUCCGGGGGAAGUAUGGUUGCAAAGCUCAAACUUAAAGGAAUUGACGG